UGCCUCUGUGAGCAGUCAGCCCUCUGCUUGCCCUGGGCAGUGCCUUGCUCAGAAACAGACUCCAGUGCAUCUUCCCCAGACAACAGAGCCUGUGUGACCAGAUACUUUCAGAAGUAUGGAUAUACAGAACCCAAGCUCUGCAUAAAGCAGAUAUAUUUCCAGGGGUCCACUCUCCGCUGGUCGCUGCUGGGGACACGGUGGAAUGGAGUGAGCAAGGUCUCUACUGUUAUGGACCUGACCUUUUGUGGUGCGGUCGUCUCUGAGCAAGCAAGUGAUGAGGGUGAUUGCGAGAAUCCUAGGAUCAGGAAGACGGAACUGUCCAACUGGCUGGGGACAAGUUGUGACUCAUUUCUGGACAACAGAAUCCAAGAAGUUAGAACCUGUGAGCUCGCGGAAACAUCACCUGUCUGGUUAAAAACAACACAGAUAUUUUGACUUUUAGAAAAAGUUGACUUUUAGAUUGGCUAAAACUGUUUUGCCAAAACUACCCAGUAUAAGGCAUGGCCAUGCCACACAGACCCACAGCUCACCGAGAAGCAGGGUGGAGUGCAAGGGAGAAGCGAGACAUCAGGUACAGACUCCGAACCCACGGAAGGCCCCAGAGAAACCCAUUUGUUCCUGUCUUCCAAGU
rnacentral:lncRNA from 1 species